AGCAUAUUCUUAAAAACCGCAGUAAGAAGUUCAGUCUGUGUGUUUCUCAUUAAAUCGGUCUAACCGAGGCGUCCUUAAACGCAACAUCGCUCUGGAGGAAUCAGGUGAAUUAAGUUUCUCGUCACUUUCUCCCAGUCAGACCUCUGGACUGCAGCAGCCAGCAGAUGGAUGGACUUCGUGUCUCAGAGCUUCUGGGAUGAAGAUGAUCUCCAGGAUCCUGCUGCUCCUCAUCCUCAGCUCAUGUCUCUGUGCAGCAACAUUUGUAGUGAAUGUGACACAGAGCAGCUAUCAGGCAGAGGAGAACCACAGCAUCACUCUGGAGUGGACCUUCAUCUCCAGACCCGACUCCUCUCUGUCCUCCAUGUUUAUCCUCUGUGAAUUUCUAGAUCCCCCUAGAGGAUUGGUUCUGUAUCAGGUCCAUGAAGGUGUUGAGAUUCCAGAUUCUCAGGAUAAACAGUUUUCAGGACGAGUCCAGAUUGACAAAGACGUCCUCAGAGAAGGACGAAUCAGACUCCAUGUGUCCAGACUGAGGACUGAAGACUCUGGUCUGUAUCUGUGUGACGUGAAAACUGAAGAUGGAUUCAACUCUGGAAGAUGUCGACUCAACGUUACUGUUCAUAAAAACAUCUCAGCUGUUCCUGGACAGAGCGUCUCUCUGCCAUGCCGACUCCCCAACAACAAACCUGUUGUGUUUGUGAAGUGGACCCAACCGGACCUGGAACCAGAAUAUGUCCUCCUGUUCAGAGAUGAGCAGCCUGACCCAGAGAACCAGCAUCCAUCUUUUAGGAACCGGGUGGAGCUGCAGGAUAGACGGAUGAAGGACGGAGACGUGUCUUUGCUUCUGAGCAACGUGACGACCAGCGACUCGGGAAAAUACGAGUGUCGAGUUUUCCAGAGAGAAGCAACCGGCAGGAAGAGACGCGCUUUGACCUCUGACCCCAUCUGGAUCGUCUUCCUGGAUGUAGCGCCUCCUCCAGUUCAUAAAAACAUCUCAGCUGUUCCUGGACAGAGCGUCUCUCUGCCAUGCCGACUCCCCAACAUCAAACCUCUUGUGGUUGUGAAGUGGACCCGACCGGACCUGGAACCAGAAGAUGUCCUCCUGUUCAGAGAUGAGCAGCCUGACCCAGAGAACCAGCAUCCAUCUUUUAGGAAGCGGGUGGAGCUGCAGGACAGACGGAUGAAGGACGGAGACGUGUCUUUGCUUCUGAGCAACGUGACGACCAGCGACUCGGGAAAAUACGAGUGUCGAGUUUUCCAGAGAGAAGCAACUGGCAGGAAGAGACGCACUUUGACCUCUGACCCCAUCGGGAUCGUCUUCCUGGAUGUAGCGCCUCCUCCAGUUCAUAAAAACAUCUCAGCUGUUCCUGGACAGAACGUCUCUCUGCCAUGCCGACACCACAACAACAAACCUGCUGUGGCUGUGAAGUGGACCCGACUGGACCUGGAACCAGAUUAUGUCCUCCUGUUCAGAGAUGAGCAGUCUGACCCAGAGAACCAGCAUCCAUCUUUUACGAACCGGGUGGAGCUGCAGGACAGAUGGAUGAAGGACGGAGACGUGUCUUUGCUUCUGAGCAACGUGACGACCAGCGACUCGGGAAAAUACGAGUGUCGAGUUUUCCAGAGAGAAGCAACCGGCAGGAAGAAUCGCGCUUUGACCUCUGACCCCAUCGGGAUCGUCUUCCUGGAUGUAGCGCCUCCUCCAGAAAACGAGGAGGAAAGAAAAGAAGAUGGAAGCAGAAACAAACAUGUUGGACUGAUUGUUGUAGCCGUUCUGAUCGCUGCACUGAUUAUUGGUUGGUGUCUCUAUUUAACAAAGCAGAAGAUGAACAGAUCACCGAACUCACAGUGAGGGUUAAGGACGGUUCUAGUUCAGAUCCCCAACCUUGAUCCUCAGAGUUCAACAUCCUCCAUGACUUGAAUGUGACUUUGCUCUAACAACUUGAUUGCAAUGAUUGCAUCAGCUCCUCUGCAGGCCAUCAGGUUCUGCUGAGGAUUUUAAUCAUUGAAUCAUUUAUGUGGCUACAGGAAAAUUGAUUGUUAUGUAUAUUUAUGCUUGUAUAUUGUUUCCUUUCUUUAGCCUUACUGUUUCACAAAGUCACUUCACAGGUUGAAGUUCACAAGCAUUUCAAUGUUCUUAUUUUUAUUCAUAUCUACCCUUAAAUCACGCCCUCCUUCUCUCUCUGUUAAUUAUUCUUGAAUAUUUUUACAUAGUAAUUAUGUGUGAAUGUUAUCUUUUGGGUUUAUUUACAAUGGAAAUUUUAAUGUACAUAAUUUUGUAAAAAGUGUAUUUUUAAUCUUA